CCACGAUCAUAAACUUCUACCAUAGGCAAGGGGAGCCUAUAUAUAUUUUUGGAGGAGCAUUGAUUUGAGCAUAAAUCGGCAAAAUUGUAUGAAAUUCAAAAUUCAAACAUCAAUUUAAUUUUUGUUUCUAUUGUUGAUUACGCUUACGUGAUUACAACCAAUCAUCAAUGCGGCCUCAAAGUAUUGUUUUCCGCUCCGCGCUCUACAUUUGAUCGCAUUUAAUUUGAUCGGGAAUUUACCGCAUCGCACAAUAUUUAUGAAUCCAAAAGAGUGAAAACCAUGAAAAUUUCUACAAAACAAAGAGAAUAUUGGGUCAAAUCAGUACUUGGAAUAUCAUAAUAAUAACAAAAUUCAUCAAUAAAAAAUCUUUCAAAUAUAUAGGAGAUAAUUAAACUAA